UUCCUCUCAGGGUGGCACCUGGAGAGUUUCCAGUCCUCCACCAGUAUCGGCUGUGGGAGGAGGAGUCCAGCAGAGGCCUACCCAUUCCAUUCCUAGCUUGGCCAGUGGCUAGCGAGUGGAAGGCAACCUGCUACAAGU